UACAUGGAAACAUCUCAUAUCGUUAUAAAGUUGAAAUUUAAUAAUAUCGUAAAUAUUGACGUAAUUAAAAGUUAAAUUAAAUUUUUGCAAGAAUUAAAGUAUAGAAUAAAGUAUAUAUAUGUAACAAUCCCGAUUCCUGCUUAUGCUGUGGGUUUACAAUCCAUUUUCGAGCUUCAUAUUGAUAAUCUAUAUAACCUAGUAGGAUAUUAAUAAUAUGAUAGUAAAAUGUAAAUAACGAAAAUUAUAUUGUAUAUACCUGACUUUCGAAAAAAACUAUAUAUAAUAAGAGGUUAGACGACAAAGUUAUAUUCCAUCUUUUUAAAUUAAGUUCGCUAUAUUUUCGAAUUUCAUGUCUUUUAUAUAUAACCGUGAUUAUUAAAGAAGCUAAAAUAUGUGGAAGUUCUUUCUACACAAAAUAAAGCAAAUACUACCAACUGAUAGGAUUCCGCGAAUCCGAUUAACUUUAGCCACAAUAUAUGCAUUUUCUGCAUGGAAUUUGGUUAUACUUACAUUCUAUUAUUCGAUUAAGGAUGACCUACCUGUUACUCCAGAAGCCAAAGACAGAUUAGUGAAGAAAAUGAAAAAGGAAAAUAUAGACGUAGAAUUUAUAGAACUCCAAGGGAUUGCUAUAAAUACUUCUAAAGAUGAAGCAAAUGAAACGAAUGUCGUGGAAACAUAGAACUUUAACAUGUUAUUAAUUUUGAGCUAGAAUAAAGCAAAUUUACAAAAGCGUU